rnacentral:tRNA from 1 species
GCCUAGAUGGUUCAGUGGGAAGAACAUACAACUCUUGAUCUUGGGGUUGUGGGUUUGAGUCCCACUCUGGGAG